AACAGAGGUCGCAAGCGUUAAUCGGAACUACUGGGCGUAAAGCGUGCGUAGGUGGUUUGUUAAGUCAGGCGUGAAAUCCUGGGGCUCAACCUCAGAAUUGCGCUUGAUACUGACAGACUCGAGUGUGGUAGAGGAUAGUGUAAUUCCCGGUGUAGAGGUGAAAUCCGUAGAUAUCGGGAGGAACAUAAGUGGCGAAGGCGGCUAUCUGGACCAACACUUACACUGAUGUACGAAAGCGUGGGUAGCAAACAGG
rnacentral:rRNA from 1 species